CGCGACCCGGUUCCGGAUAAAGCGGGAGACGACGAGUACGAGUUCGUACACCUGCUGCCCAAGGGGGGAAAGGAAGCUCCCCUGUCAGUGUAACAGGUGUGCUGCCUUAUAUGACCAUCAAAACGGGAUAUUCACACAAGCAGAAAUGAAAGACGGACAGUGGGUGGGCACUGAAGAGAGAAAAACAGUAAUUAUGACGGAUUUAUGGAUGACACACAUUCUUGCAGCUGUCUCACUGUUACACCUGUGAAACUGGUUGAGUCUGGAUACAAGGGGAGGAUAAAAGAGGUGAAACAGGAGGGACGUCAUCCUUGGUAGCAAACACACUUCUAAAUACAGGUUUACAUUCACAAUCAGGAGACCGUGAAUAUAACAUGAAGGCCAUAGCCAGUGGGCCAUGACCAAGUCUGAGGGAGGUCUUCAGGCUUUUAAUGCACAUUGGUUCUAGAUCAUUACUCCUUUCUCCAAAACAAAGAGGUCUGAAAAUGACUAACGCAUGCAAACAGCCGUUGUAAUGAGCGCAUAGAGACAGUAAGGUAAAUACUUGGGAAAGUGAGGGAAAUCCUGAGGUGGCUGACCUGAAUAGGGAAUGAA